GAUACCACCGCCAUCAUGCUGGCCAUCUCCAAGGGCGAUGGGAUGCGGGGGCUCACGGUGUUCAUCUCCGACAUCCGGAGCUGUAAGAGCAAAGAGGCAGAGAUUAAGAGAAUCAACAAGGAACUGGCCAAUAUCUGCUCUAAGUUCAAAGGGGACAAAGCCUUGAAUGGCUACAGUAAGAAAAAAUAUGUGUGUAAACUGCUGUUCAUCUUCCUGCUUGGCCAUGACAUUGACUUUGGGCACAUGGAGGCCGUGAACCUGCUCAGCUCCAACAAGUACAUGGAGAAGCAGAUAGGUUACCUCUUCAUCUCGGUUCUGGUGAACUCAAACUCCGAACUGAUCUGGCUCAUCAGCAAUGCCAUCAAGAACGACCUGGCCAGCCGCAACCCUACCUUCAUGUGCCUGGCCCUCCACUGCAUCGCCAAUGUGGGCAGCCGUGAGAUGGGCGAGGCCUUUGCCGCUGACAUCCCAUGCAUCCUGGUGGCUGGGGACAGCAUGGACAGCGUGAAACAGAGCGCGGCCCUGUGCCUACUAUGGCUGUACAAGGCCUCACCCGACUUAGUGCCCAUGGGCGAGUGGACGGCCCCAGGUGGUGCACCUGCUCAACGACCAGCACGUGGGUGUGGUCACAGCCGCUGUCAGUCUCAUCACCUGUCUCUGCAAGAAGAACCCAGACGACUUCAAGACGUGCAUCUCCCUGGCUGUGUCUCACCUGAGCUGGAUUGUCUCCUCGGCCUCCACCGACCUCCAGGACUACACCUACUACUUCGUCCCGGCACCCUGGCUCUCGGUGAAACUCCUGCAACUGUUACAGUGCUACCCACCCUCAGAGGAUGCUGCCGUGAAGGGGCGGCUGGUGGAGUGUCUGGAGACCGUGCUCAACAAGGUCCAGGAGCCCCCCAAGUCCAAGAAGGUCCAGCACUCCAACGCCAAGAAUGCCAUCCUCUUCGAGACCAUCAGCUUCAUCAUCCACUAGGACAGUGAGCCCAACCUCCUGGUGCGGGCCUGUAACCAGCUGGGCCAGUUCCUGCAGCACCGGGAGACCAACCUGCGCUACCUGGCCCUGGAGAGCAUGUGCACACUGGCCAGCUCCGAGUUCUUCCACGAGGUGGUCAAGACCUACAUCGACACUGUCAUCAAUGCCCUCAAGACGGAGCGGGACGUCAGUAUGCGACAGCGGGCCACUGACCUCCUCUGUGCCAUGUGUGAUUGGAGCAACGCCAAGCAGAUCAUGUCAGAAAUGCUUCGGUACCUGGAGACGGCUGACUACGCCAUCCGUGAAGAGAUUGUCCUGAAGGUGGCCAUCCUGGCCGAGAAGUACGCAGUAGACUAUAGCUGGUAUGUGGACACCAUCUUCAACCUCAUCCGCAUUGCGGGCGACUACGUGAGUGAGGAGGUGUGGUACCGUGUGCUGUAGAUCGUCACCAACCGUGAUGACGUCCAGGGCUACGCUGCCAGAACCAUCUUUGAGGCGCUCCGGGCCCCCGCCUGCCAUGAGAACAUGGUGAAGGUCGGCGGCUACAUCCUCGGGGAGUUUGGGAAUCUGAUUGCUGGGGACCCCCGCUCCAGCCCUCCGGUGCAGUUCUCUCUGCUGCACUCCAGGUUCCACCUGUGCAGCGUGGCCACCUGGGCCCUGCUGCUCUCCACCUACAUAAAGUUCAUCAGCCUCUUCCCGGAGACCAAGGCCACCAUCCAGGGCGUGCUGCGGGCCGGCUCCCAGCUGUGCAGUGCUGAUGUGGAGCUUCAGCAGCACGUGGUCGAGUACCUCACGCUCAGCUCAGUGGCCAGCACGGAUGUCCUGGCACAGUGCUGGAGGAGAUGCCGCCCUUCCUGGAGCGAGAGUCAUCCAUCCUGGCCAAGCUGAAACGCAAGAAGGGGCCCGGGGCUGGCAGCGCCCUGGAUGAUGGCUGGAGGGACCCCAGCAGCAAUGACAUCAAUGGGGGCAUGGAGCCGACCCCUAGCACUGUGUCGACGCCCUCGCCCUCUGCCAACCUCCUGGGGCUGCGGGCAGCCCCUCCCCCAGCUGCAUCCCCAGCGACCUCAGGUGCAGGGAACCUCCUGGUGGAUGUUUUCUCUGACGGCCUGGCUGCCCAGCCCAGCCUGGGGCCCACUCCCGAGGAGGCCUUCCUCAGCCCAGGUCCUGAGGACAUCCGGCCACCCAUCCCAGAAGCCGAUGAGCUGCUGAAUAAGUUCGUGUGUAAGAAUAAUGGGGUCCUGUUUGAGAACCAGCUGUUGCAGAUUGGAGUCAAGUCGGAGUUCCGGCAGAACUUGGGCCACCUGUAUCUCCUCUAUGGCCACAAGAUGUCCGUGCAGUUCCGGAACUUCUCACCCACUAUCGUCCACCCUGGAGACCUUCAGACUCAGCUGGCAGUGCAGACCAAGCGCGUGGCCGCACAGGUGGACGGCGGGGCGCAGGUGCAGCAGGUGCUCAACAUCGAGUGUCUGCGGGACUUCCUGACACCCCUGCUCCUGUCCGUGCACUUCCGGUAUGGGGGCGCCCCCCAGUCCCUCACCCUGAAGCUCCCGGUGACCAUCAACAAGUUCUUCCAGCCCACGGAGAUGGCGGCCCAGGAUUUCUUCCAGCGUUGGAAGCAGCUGAGCCUCCCCUAACAGGAGAUGCAGAAAAUCUUCAAAGACAACCACCCCACGGAUGCAGAAGUCACUAAGGCAAAACUCCUGGGGUUUGGCUCUGCUCUUCUGGACAAUGUGGACCCCAACCCUGAGAACUUUGUGGGGGCUGGAAUCAUCCAGACUAAAGCCCUGCAGGUGGGCUGUCUGUUCCGGCUGGAGCCCAAUGCCCAGGCUCAGAUGUACUGGCUGACCCUGCGCACUAGCAAGGAACCCGUCUCCCGUCACCUGUGUGAGCUGCUGGCCCAGCAUUUCUGA